UAUGUGAUCGUCUCUCGCAUAUCAAUAAGCGGAGGAAAAGAAACUAACAAGGAUUCCCUUAGUAACGGCGAGUGAAGCGGGAAGAGCUCAAAUUUGAAAUCUUCAAGGCUUUACCUUGACGAAUUGUAGUUUAAAGAAGUGUUUUCUGUUGAAGUUUUGGUAAAAGUUCUUUGGAAUAGGACAUCAUAGAGGGUGAGAAUCCCGUAUUUGACCAUUAUUUUCCAGCUGUGUGAUACACUUUCAAAGAGUCGGAUUGUUUGGGAAUGCAGUCCAAAAUGGGUGGUAAAUUUCAUCUAAAGCUAAAUAUUGGCGAGAGACCGAUAGCGAACAAGUACCGUGAGGGAAAGAUGAAAAGAACUUUGAAAAGAGAGUUAAACAGUACGUGAAAUUGUCAAAAGGGAAGCGUUUGACACCAGUGUUGUUUUCUCGAAAAUCAAUUAAAAAGAGUUAGAUUUUGUUGUGUAUUGACCUUAACAGCUUGCAUUUCAAUUUUCUUGCUUUUUUUAAUGCACUUUUCGUUUAACAAGUCAACAUCAGUUUCUAUUGUUGUAAAAAGGUCAUUGGAAGGUGGCUUUCUUUUCGGAGAAAGUGUUUAUAGCCUUUGACUCCUGCAAUCGGAGAGACUGAGGUCUGCAGCGUAGAUCCUUCGGGGUUAGAUACAUUUGUGCUAAGUUAUAGCUUUUUAUAGACAACUUGUUGACUAUGAUUAGUCUUGUAGCUUACUCGCUUAUGCUAUUUUACCUACGCUUAGGAUGUUGAAGAUGUAGCACAUCA
rnacentral:rRNA from 1 species